GAACGAACGCUGGCGGCAUGCCUAACACAUGCAAGUCGAACGAGACCUUCGGGUCUAGUGGCGCACGGGUGCGUAACGCGUGGGAACCUGCCCUUAGGUUCGGAAUAACUCCCCGAAAGGGGUGCUAAUACCGGAUAAUUUCUUCGGACCAAAGAUUUAUCGCCUUUGGAUGGGCCCGCGUUGGAUUAGCUAGUUGGUAGGGUAAAAGCCUACCAAGGCGACGAUCCAUAGCUGGUCUGAGAGGAUGAUCAGCCACACUGGGACUGAGACACGGCCCAGAAUCCUACGGGAGGGAGCAGUGGGGAAUAUUGGACAAUGGGCGAAAGUCUGAUCAAGCAAUGCCGGGUGAGUGAUGAAGGGCGUAGGGUUGUAAAGCUCUUUUACCCGGGAUGAUAAUGACAGUACCGGGAGAAUAAGCUCCGGCUAACUCCGUG
rnacentral:rRNA from 1 species